UGGCGGUAAACUUUUCGUUUAAUAAAUAUUCACCAUAAAUAUAGUCUUAUUUGUUUCAAUUAGGCAUAGGCAGGGGCGGGCUUGUAGGCAGGGGCGGGCUUGUAUGCAGGGGCGGGCUUGUAGGCAGGGGCGGGCUUGUACUCGGGGUACUGGGCCUCACCCUCGUAGCUGACCUCAGCCACGUAGCCAGAGUCGCCG
rnacentral:lncRNA from 1 species